AAAUAAGAAACAAAAAUUUGUAUUUAGUUUCGACCUAAAAUUUUGGUAUUAUUACCCUUAUUUU
rnacentral:tRNA from 1 species